rnacentral:rRNA from 1 species
GAUGAACGCUGGCGGCGUGCCUAACACAUGCAAGUCGAGCGUGAACCGUCUGAAUGAAACUUCGGUCGAGUGAGGAUGGGAAAGCGGCGGACGGGUGAGUAACGCGUAGGCAACCUGCCCCGUACAGAGGGAUAGCCUCGGGAAACCGGGAUUAAGACCUCAUAAUACCAUUAUCUCACAUGUGAUAAUGGUCAAAGAUUUUAUCGGUAUGGGAUGGGCCUGCGUCUGAUUAGCUGGUUGGUGGGGUAACGGCUCACCAAGGCGACGAUCAGUAGCCGACCUGAGAGGGUAAUCGGCCACAUUGGAACUGAGACACGGUCCAAACUCCUACGGGAGGCAGCAGUGGGGAAUAUUGCACAAUGGGCGAAAGCCUGAUGCAGCAACGCCGCGUGAGCGAGGAAGGCCUUUGGGUCGUAAAGCUCUGUCGAGGAGGAAGAUAAUGACGGUACUCCUCGAGGAAGCCCCGGCUAACUACGUG